rnacentral:rRNA from 1 species
CCUACGGGUGGCAGCAGUGAGGAAUAUUGGUCAAUGGACGCGAGUCUGAACCAGCCAAGUAGCGUGAAGGAUGACUGCCCUAUGGGUUGUAAACUUCUUUUAUAAGGGAAUAAAAUGAUCCACGUGUGGGGUUUUGUAUGUACCGUAUGAAUAAGGAUCGGCUAACUCCGUGCCAGCAGCCGCGGUAAUACGGAGGAUCCGGGCGUUAUCCGGAUUUAUUGGGUUUAAAGGGAGCGUAGGUGGAUUGUUAAGUCAGUUGUGAAAGGUUGCGGCUCAACCGUAAAAUUGCAGUUGAAACUGGCAGUCUUGAGUACAGUAGAGGUAGGCGGAAUUCGUGGUGUAGCGGUGAAAUGCUUAGAUAUCACGAAGAACUCCGAUUGCGAAGGCAGCUCACGGAACUGCUACUGACACUGAGGCUCGAAAGUGUGGGUAUCAAACAGGAUUAGAUACCCGAGUAGUC